GGCUACCUGGCGCAAUGGUAGCGCGUUUGGCUUCGAUGGCCCAACGGGUACCCAAAAACCAAAAGGUUGCAGGUUCGAUCCCUGCGGUGGUCA
rfam:Coprinopsis cinerea okayama7#130 chromosome 5 cont3.5, whole genome shotgun sequence.